rnacentral:tRNA from 1 species
GCGUCGUUAGCUCAAAUGGAAGAGCAUCUCCUUUUGGAAGAUGAUGCGGUUCGAGUCCGCUACGGCGCACCA